rnacentral:rRNA from 1 species
GAAGGGGCUAGCGUUGUUCGGAAUUACUGGGGCGGUAAAGCGCAUGCAGGCGGAUCGCUAAGUCGGGGGUGAAAGCCCGAGGCUCAACCUCGGGAACUGCCUUCGAUACUGGCGAUCUUGAGUCCGGGAGAGGUGAGUGGAACUCCGAGUGUAGAGGUGAAAUUCGUAGAUAUUCGGAAGAACACCAGUGGCGAAGGCGGCUCACUGGCCCGGUACUGACGCUGAGAUGCGAAAGCGUGGGGAGCAAACAGGAUUAGAUACCCUGGUAGUCCACGCCGUAAACGAUGGAUGCUAGCCGUCAGCCAGCUUGCUGGUUGGUGGCGCAGCUAACGCAUUAAGCAUCCCGCCUGGGGAGUACGAUCGCAAAGAUUAA